CCAGGGAUGACAGAGUGGCCAAUUGUACGAGACUGUAAAUCUCGCGGCGUAAGCCUACGGAGGUUCGAAUCCUCCUCCCUGGA
rnacentral:tRNA from 4 species